rnacentral:rRNA from 1 species
UACAGAGGGUGCGAGCGUUAAUCGGAAUUACUGGGCGUAAAGCGUGCGUAGACGGUUAUUUAAGUCGGAUGUGAAAGCCCCGGGCUCAACCUGGGAAUGGCAUUUGGGACUGCAAGGCUUGAGUGCGGCAGAGGAGACUGGAAUUCCUGGUGUAGCAGUGAAAUGCGUAGAUAUCAGGAGGAAUACCGAUGGCGAAGGCAGGUCUCUGGGCUGACACUGACGCUCAUGCACGAAAGCGUGGGGAGCAAACAGG